rnacentral:rRNA from 1 species
GUCGAGCGGGGAUUGUAGCUUGCUACAUGACCUAGCGGCGGACGGGUGAGUAAUACUUAGGAAUCUGCCUAUUAGUGGGGGACAACGUUCCGAAAGGAGCGCUAAUACCGCAUACGCCCUACGGGGGAAAGCAGGGGAUCUUCGGACCUUGCGCUAAUAGAUGAGCCUAAGUCGGAUUAGCUAGUUGGUAGGGUAAAGGCCUACCAAGGCGACGAUCUGUAGCGGGUUUGAGAGGAUGAUCCGCCACACUGGGACUGAGACACGGCCCAGACUCCUACGGGAGGCAGCAGUGGGGAAUAUUGGACAAUGGGCGCAAGCCUGAUCCAGCCAUGCCGCGUGUGUGAAGAAGGCCUUAUGGUUGUAAAGCACUUUAAGCGAGGAGGAGGCUUACCUAGAUAAUACCUAGGAUAAGUGGACGUUACUCGCAGAAUAAGCACCGGCUAACUCUGUGCCAGCAGCCGCGGUAAUACAGAGGGUGCAAGCGUUAAUCGGAAUUACUGGGCGUAAAGCGCGCGUAGGUGGCCAUUUAAGUCAAAUGUGAAAUCCCCGAGCUUAACUUGGGAAUUGCAUUCGAUACUGGGUGGCUAGAGUAUAGGAGAGGAAGGUAGAAUUCCAGGUGUAGCGGUGAAAUGCGUAGAGAUCUGGAGGAAUACCGAUGGCGAAGGCAGCCUUCUGGCCUAAUACUGACACUGAGGUGCGAAAGCAUGGGGAGCAAACAGGAUUAGAUACCCUGGUAGUCCAUGCCGUAAACGAUGUCUACUAGCCGUUGGGUCCUUUGAGGACUUAGUGGCGCAGCUAACGCGAUAAGUAGACCGCCUGGGGAGUACGGUCGCAAGACUAAAACUCAAAUGAAUUGACGGGGGCCCGCACAAGCGGUGGAGCAUGUGGUUUAAUUCGAUGCAACGCGAAGAACCUUACCUGG